rnacentral:rRNA from 1 species
GAUAAACGCUGGCGGCGUGCCUUAUGCAUGCAAGUCGAACGAGGUUAGGAUUUCGGUCCGAAGCCUAGUGGCGGACGGGUGAGUAACACGUACGUGACCUGUCCAGAAGUGGGGAAUAACCAGCCGAAAGGUUGGCUAAUACCGCAUGUGGUCCCCCCUGGAGGGAGGGACAAAGACGAACGGACGCUUCUGGAGGGGCGGUGCGGCGGAUUAGUUAGUUGGUGUGGUAACGGCGCACCAAGACGAU